ACGACUAAUUCGUCUGGCCAGCAGGGGGCGUCGCAGGCUCGUUCGCGGUGGCGGGGUUUUGCGGCGGCUGAGGCUGGCAAGGGCCGGAAUUGCAAUCGCUGGGUCUGCGUUCCGGUAAGACCCGGGUCUCCGGGUGUCCAGGGAGCGCGCACGGCGGCGCCUGUUCGCUGCCACACGGGCCCGGUACCAGGGCGGGCAGGCAUGGUGGAGGGAGCAGAGGACCUAAUGCUGGAACAGCCGUCUAAGGACCAGCCCCUGCUGCUGUCAAAGGGGGAAUUUCAAGGCUUCGACCUGGAUCGGGUCUGGCGGUGUCUCCCUCCUUCCCUCUAUCUCUAGUGUAAUACUUUAAAAAAAAAAAAAAAAGUCCAUCUUCCACAAACGCCUGAACAGGAUUAUCCUAACAUAUUUCUCAAGGCAAUAUUUUUGCUAAAAAUUUUAGCAUUCCGAGAGGGAACUCAAACUGAGCAUUCACUCUGCAGAGGAAGAAUGCUGGUUCCAAGCCCUUUUUCUGUCUCCCAAGACACAUCUGCGCAGCUGUCCUGAGAAUCCCACCCUUCCACUUUCUGGCGUGCUGGAAAUCCCUUGACCUAUUUGUGCUGUCACCUAGUGGCUUUGGGCAAGUCCUAGUUUUGCCUAAAUGUAAAGCUCUCGCCCCCUUCUAGCUUCCAACCGAGCAAUCCCGGCCGUUCUUCUGCAAGACCAUUUCGAGUAAAGUACAAUUUCACGGUAGUUUUACAUUGCUUUAAACAGAUGACUUUCCCCUCCUUGUUUCUAAGCAGCGUGAAACACUUGCACCUGUUCACUGCUUAACAGACAGCAGAGCUGGCUGUCACAGACUGCCAACCUCCUGGAAAUCAGGUUGCCCGGCAUCGCCAAAUGGAAGCUUACCUGGCUUUCCCCCUUUCCCCUCCUCUCUCUGUCUCGUGGGGUCACUUUGGCCUUAAAAAAAAAAAAAAAAAAAAGUAAAUCCUGCAGGCCUACCCCACUUUCUGGAAGCGAAUUUCCUUCUCUAUAGUGUUUUUGUGUCAUUGUGUAUCUACCUGGUGGGUGUUUAUUUUUGUAGCUGUGCCCUGUCACUCAAUUCUAUUUAACAGACUUUUACCAACACUCUAAGGUGGCUGUGCUUUCACAGGGUUUAGUUCCAUCUGUUUCUUCUAAGCUGCUGCUGUAGCUGGCAAGUUUGCUCUGAUUGGAAGGUAGAUGUAAAGGCUGCUUGUCAUCGGCCUAAACGUGUUUGGCAAGAACGCUUUGCAAAUGAUGAACUGUUCAUUCUGCAUCCUGUCAGGAACAUGAAGUGCCAACUUCUUCAUGUUUCUCCUUGGAGGCAGAAUUAAGAUUGUGUCCUCUGGAUGGGCUUGCCUGAGUGUGACUCCUGCCUAUGUGGCACAGUCGAUGCCACCAGGCACAUAUCCUGGCUUCUCUGCAUCCUGUGCCGUCUGCAAAGUGGAGGCUCACUGAGGAAGAAGAUGAGGCAAGGAGAGACCCGAGAUCUGGAUGGGCCAGCGCGCUCUCUGUUCCUGGACCCUAGACAGUGGAGGUUGACCAAGCAGAGCUCCAGAGAACACCGCUGGACUGCGAUACACCUUCCCCAGACCCCACGACCUACCUUUCCCUUUUUUGUUUCAGGUUUCAGAUUGGCUGGACUGGUCCACAUCAGCUUUCAGCAAGUCCAGAGCAUGUCCAGAGCUUGCAGUCAUUUGGAGCAGAUAAUGGCUCAAUCCACAUGUAUAAUUGAUGACAGGACCACGAUGGAUCCAGGCUGCUUUGACUCUGUACCUCGUAUGGUUUUCCCACUGUUGAACUGAUGAAUGCAUUUGAACAGGAGCUACAUUGCUAGAUGUGGCUUGACCCUUGAAACCCAGCUGCUCAGCAGGCUACUGAGAGGGAAGCAUGUGGGGUCAAAAAGGGGUCCACUUUACACGUGAGUGAAAAUAGGUGGAAGAUGGCCCCAGUUGGGUUUUCUCUUCAUCUUUAGUUUGCCCAUUCGGCAAUAUUUUUUUCUUUUUUAAUGGCAAGUUUUAUUUUGUGGAAUGGAGGACAUAUUUUUCCUUGGUCACUCUUCAACUCUUUGCUUAGGUUUGCUUUUCAAAGGGAAAGGGGCCGGUGUAACCCUCUGCACUUUGUCAAUGGACUACUGAGGUUGUAGUGUGUACACUUCUGUCCUGAAGACAAAUGAGCCACAUGUGUAGUCUGAUAAGAAGAGAGUGCCUCUGUGCCUGUGGUACCUGCUGCCUGGGGAGCAUAUCCCUACCAAGUUUUCCCCUGGGAGUAGCAAAGAUAGAUCAUUUAGAAAAACAAUCACCAUUUAAUUUUUAUUUUAUAAGUUUGUAAAACAGAUGUGGGUGGUGUCCAGGAACAAAACGACAUUCAAAUUUCAAUAGUGACAUCGUGUCAUAUAGAUAGCUAUUUCUACAAUAGUCUACUAGCAUGGAAGAUAUCCUUCUCUUUCCAAGACAUCCCUUUACUGUGUGGAACUACAGCAAGUAAAGCAGUAGACCAUGCUCUUCUGCUACUAGCAAAAGAAUGGCUUUAAGAGAAUGAUGAUUUAGGUGUUACUACCAAAGUCCCAGCUGACAGGUAGCCUUGAGAUAUUAGCAACCCACAAAAACAAACUCAGAAACAGAAACAAUUUUUAAAAUCUCCAGAGGGGAGCAGAAUGUCACAAUGAGAUGUUUCACUCAAGAAAAGCUUUCACUUUGAUGGGAAACAGAAACACUUGAUGCCAAAGACCUCCUAAAAGGUUGAAAAGAUCGCCUACAUGAAGAAUGUGCGUGAAAUCAGCAGCAAGAAUGAGACCCUGGGGCUCACUGCAGUAAAAUACCCAAAGGGUAGGGUUAAAAAGACUUCCAGGCUAUCCUGAAAUCAGAAAUUUCCAUCAUGUUCCUCUUGAUAACCCAGAUAGGUUUCUCUAUCAAUGUUUAUUCAACCAAUGAAGAGAUUCUUGGAUUUUGCAAACUUGAAGACAUAUAUGAAGUGGAAAAUUCUGCUACUAAAUUAAAACCAAACAAUUUUGAGGAAGAGUGUACAAAAAUGAGACCCCUCGAUAUCAUUUUAUACACUGAAUAAAUAAAUAAAUUCAAUCAAUAAGUUCUUAAAUAUGAAAAAAGUAAAAUGCUCAAGGCUUACCGAGGGUCCUAAGGAAUUUUUUCCAGAAUAAAAAUUUGAAAUGUUAUAUUUGUAUGAUUUUUCACAUCUGAAAUGUACUUGAGAAAUGUUUUAUUUUUAUUUUUCUAGAAGUCAGAAACGAUGCUGAGGAAAACUGCUUAAGGGACUGAAGAGCUGCCACAGGUAGCCACUACUAUUUCCUCUGGCAGUUCUUAAGAAAAGUAGCUGGAUGUCACAGCCACAGCUGCAUGAAUGUCCCAGCUCUGCUCCCGGUUUGAGACAUUUCUCUCAUUGAGUCAGUGAAAUUCUCCUAUUAACAUCACCAUGUUCUUUUCCAUUUGCUACUUAUUUAUAUGGGUGGAGUAGCAUCAUGCAAUCUAAAAUUUUAAUCAGCCUGUAAAAAACUUCUCUCCCUCUCCUCUCCCUCUCCUCUCCUGUCCUCUC